GGCCGCCUGGCGAAAUGGCAUCGCGUCUGACUACGAUUAGUUUAUCGUAGCGCAAUCAGGAGAUUGCAGGUUCGACCCCUGCGGUGGUCA